rnacentral:rRNA from 1 species
UACGUAGGCAGCAAGCGUUGUUCGGAGUUACUGGGCGUAAAGGGUGUGUAGGCGGUUCUUUAAGUUUGCUGUGAAAUCUCCCGGCUUAACCGGGAGGGUGCGGUGAAUACUGGAGGGACUAGAGUACGGGAGAGGAAAGUGGAAUUCCUGGUGUAGCGGUGAAAUGCGUAGAUAUCAGGAGGAACACCGGUGGUGUAGACGGCUUUCUGGACCGUAACUGACGCUGAGACACGAAAGCGUGGGUAGCAAACAGG